rnacentral:rRNA from 1 species
AAUAAGCGGAGGAAAAGAAACCAACAGGGAUUGCCCUAGUAACGGCGAGUGAAGCGGCAACAGCUCAAAUUUGAAAUCUGGCCUCGGCCCGAGUUGUAAUUUGUAGAGGAAGCUUUUGGCGCGGCACCUUCUGAGUCCCCUGGAACGGGGCGCCAUGGAGGGUGAGAGCCCCGUAUAGUCGGAUGCCUAGCCUUUGUAAAGCUCCUUCGACGAGUCGAGUAGUUUGGGAAUGCUGCUCAAAAUGGGAGGUAAAUUUCUUCUAAAGCUAAAUACCGGCCAGAGACCGAUAGCGCACAAGUAGAGUGAUCGAAAGAUGAAAAGCACUUUGAAAAGAGGGUCAAACAGCACGUGAAAUUGUUGAAAGGGAAGCGCUUGUGACCAGACUUGCGCCGGGCUGAUCAUCCGGUGUUCUCACCGGUGCACUCGGCCCGGCUCAGGCCAGCAUCGGUUCUCGCGGGGGGACAAAGGUCCUGGGAACGUAGCUCCUCCGGGAGUGUUAUAGCCCAGGGCGCAAUGCCCCCGCGGGGACCGAGGUUCGCGCUCUGCAAGGAUGCUGGCGUAAUGGUCACCAGCGACCCGUCUUGAAACACGGACCAAGGAGUCAAGGUUUUGCGCGAGUGUUUGGGUGUAAAACCCGCACGCGUAAUGAAAGUGAACGUGGGUGAGAGCUUCGGCGCAUCAUCGACCGAUCCUGAUGUAUUCGGAUGGAUUUGAGUAGGAGCGUUAAGCCUUGGACCCGAAAGAUGGUGAACUAUGCUUGGAUAGGGUGAAGCCAGAGGAAACUCUGGUGGAGGCUCGCAGCGGUUCUGACGUGCAAAUCGAUCGUCAAAUCUGAGCAUGGGGGCGAAAGACUAAUCGAACCAUCUAGUAGCUGGU